CCCAAAAUCACACUUAAAAUACACUUGACGUUUCACUUAAAAGUGGGAGUUCAGUGAAUUUCUUCAUUUCAAGUGGCUCAUGUAGAUUUCACUUACCCGUCACUUAUGUUUCAAGUGACCGAAUCAAUGUUCACUAACUCAUCACAUAAGUUUUAAGUGACUGUCACUUGAAAUUCCUCUGAAAAUCCACUUACUUCGCCGCUCACUUCAAUUUCAUUACAUUCUCACUUAAAAUUCACUUGACCCGUCACUUAAUUGUCAAAUUCACUUGAUCGGUCACUUAAAAUUGAAAUGAAUGUACAGGUAGCGAAUGACAGCCAUGUUGUGAAAGAUUGUUUUUAUUAUGGAAACAUAACAGAAUUGUGUAUGAGCUGGUAGGUGCAGAAAAAGAGUCAUUUAUAUAAGUUUCAUAACAAUUAUAUACUUCCAGAGCCCGAGAAAAAUAUCCUGUGAGGCGGAUAAUAUGUCGUAGUGCAACUAUUCAUCCGAAUGAGGGGCCAAAAUAUGAAUCGGCAGAAGUUGUAACUUCUACAGAGCAACUAUGAAUAAAUUGGCCAUGGUGGGAAAUCUUUGUUGGAUGUUUCGGAAAUGCUUCCCGAUGGUAUUUUUAUUCUGAAAUUUUCAAGAACAGUGCAAAUAAAAAAAAAAUCAACCUAAAUUUUGGGAAAAAAUCGAAAAAGUAAAUGAGUAUCUCAAGCCAAAACUUUAAUUUGAACUCAUCAAUAAAUUUGUGAAAAAAAC